rnacentral:lncRNA from 1 species
CUGGCUGUCGAAUCUAGGGCUGGGUGCCCCCUUCAGCCGUCGGAUCUCCAUAACGUCCAGCGAACCGGUACCGGGCCCGGCUGGGCCGCAGCCCGAAAGCGGCCCAAAAUCAGCCCAGGUAAAAAAAAAAGGAAAGAAGAAAGGGAAGGAAGCCUGCUGACCUGAAGACGGCCCAGGCACGGGCCCAGUUUGCGCCCGUGCGUGCGUGGCGGCCCAGCUGGCCCACGCGGCCGACUGGGUUCAGAAAAGUUGCAAAGAAGCCAAAAACCUCAGGGAAAUUACGGAUGAGUCCUCAGGAAUUUCGGGGAGACCCUCGGGGUCCCUGAUUUUUGCAAACUAGUCC